CUAGUGAGCACCGAGCCGUAGAGCAAUGGUGGCCUCUCUGUACAGUGUCAUAGGCCCUGUGUCUGCAAUAUAAAUGAGGAGAACAGAGAAAAUCAAAGAGUGCGCUUGCUUUCUUAUACAAAUUGAAGCGGAACAGCUGCGGCCCGAUGGUGCAGUGAGAAAGACACGAAUACUAUUUGAGGAAAGCCAUUUCAGAGUUACGGUUAAGUCCAGUCCAACUGUCUGGCUCCGGCACUACCAGCCAUCAGAGAGAAGUGAGAAGCGCUGUGUACAGAGCACGAGUCGGGGCCAACCAGCAUGCCAAGAAAAGUAAAGAGAGCCUUGGCUGCACCUCAAAUAAUCCGAAAAAGAUUGCAUGGCAUUAAAGCUGCAAGUGCGGGCUCACAAACAGCGAUGGGCAUCAUCACAGCACCGUACUUUCCCGUUGAACCUCGGUUCCCAUUGCGAGAGAAAGUCUUACUGGCUCUCUCCUUGCUUUUUCCCUCCCCGUCUUUCGUUCGCUCCCUUUCCCAGGGACACAUACUGUAACUAGCGCAACUACGCCACUCACUUGCUGUUUCAUUCACUUUAUGGGGGAAUAGCUAAGACCUGAUACAAUACCACCGCAUAUUGAGGGGAUUUUAUCAAUCAGAUUUAAAAGCUUCGUUUUUACUGUAUAGUAUUCAAGCGAUGAGUGGCAUUUAAAAUAUCUUGUGUUUUAUUUAGAAAAGUCAUGUGUUCUUUUAUAGUAAAAGUCAUAUUCAGCCUAGAAAUGUCACCCAAGCCUCUUGGCGUGCGUCUCUGCUAUUAUUGCUCGGUUCCAAAGGAACGUGUUAUUAUUAGUUUAGCUUGUCUUUCCUCUUCUCUGUGAUUUAACAAAACAAAUUGGAAGUACUAAUAACUAUUGUUGCUGCAAAAAUAUUGUUUUAAAAGAUGUUCUGCAACAUGUUUGGUAACUUGCUUUGACAUCACCCUGACUACAACUGCUAUAAAUCUAUAUGGGGAGUUUCAUCAUGUAUUUCAUGUAAAUGUAUUCUACUAUUAACAUGAAGCGUUUCAGUUAGUGGCAAAGCCAACAAUAUUCGGUUAAAACGUUUUCACGCAGAUUGGGAUUACAGUAUUAGAUGCAUCCCAUGGAUCAAUGUGGAACAGCUAUUAUUUUAAACUCUGAUUUUCACAACGCCCGCAUUGCUAAACAAGCGGCAGCAAUCAACUAUCCAUAACAAAACAUAGAAGUAACUUCAGUAAUUCAACAUCCGUAAUGUUUGAUUUCUAGUAAUUUUUCCAUUAGCUACGACGCAAACUGUACGCAAGUGGGUGGGAAUGUCGGUAGUGAUGUAAAAGAUUUGUCCAAGUUUUCUUAGAUCUAUUCUGAUAAAUAUUGGCAUUUAUACUCAAAUCCGCCAAAUUUUACUUUUGAAACAUUAAAAUAUAUGUAUUGUUUUAAUAUA